AACUAAGGAAACUAACGUGCUAAAAUGGCCUCAAAAUUAUAACAUAAUCAAAAACGUUUCUCCAAAACGUAAUUUUUAACAAACUUAAUUUAAAUUUGGAUUAUUAAUCCAGUUUUCAUUAUUUCCAAAGAAAUGUUUUUUAAAACCAAAAGUAUUAUAGUUUAAUAAUAAUUUUUACAUUAUAUGACAAAAAAAAAUGUCAGAUAUACUUUGUAAAUGGUUAAAUGACGAUGUCAAGUUGAGUAGACAAGUGUGUCCUUUGAACUUAGAAGAAUCUUUUGCUAAUGGUUUUUUGAUUGGGGAGUUACUUUCUCAUUAUGGGGUUCAGGAAAACUUCAAAGAAUUUUCAAAGUCAUUCACAUCAGAAGCAAUUGUCAACAAUUUUACAAGAAUACACAACACUUUGUUAUUGCUGGAAAUAAAUUUUGAUUCCAAUAUGGCAAAAGAAGUUAUAGAUGAAAAACCAGGAAUCAUUACUAAUCUUUUGUAUGAACUUUUUAUAAAACUUGGCAAAAAAUGUAACAGCGGUAAAAUAAAUGAUACUAUGGUAGCAUUGAGAGCUCAUGGUUUGCUCAAAAUUGAUCCUUUAAAGACAAAAAUGUUCAAAGAACAUCUAAAGAGUCUUUUGCCUCGACAAGUCGAUAAAGAUUUUAAAAUGUUAACAGAAACUUACAAGAACAAAAUAAAAUUAAAGGAAGAAGAAAUAUUAAAAUCACAGCUUGAAGAAGAAUUAAGACAAAAAAGUCUCAAGCAAAAGGUUCGCCAGGAAAACUUACAAAAAUCAUGGCUGAUGCGAAAAAAGCAAGAUCAAAUCAUGUUAAAAGUUUGGGAAGCAACACAAAAUACUCUGCCUCAGUAUCCUAUAAAAGAAAAGUUUCAGAUAAGUCCUAAGAUGGGUAAACAGGAAGAAGUUGUAAAUGAAGCUAAUAGCAUGCAUGAUAGCAUCCAGAAGUUUGAAAAAGAUUUUGAAAGUUUUCUUAUAACUGACCAACCUGAUAAACUAAAACAGGUGGACACAGAUAUUGAACAUUACCUAAACUCAUUUUCUAAAAAGGAAAUAAAAGAAUACAUAAAGCCAGAAGAAAGUUUAAAAUAUGUUUUAGAAAUUCGUCAACGAAUUAAUGAAAAUUCUAAAGCAAAAAAGGAGCGUGAGAAACGCAGAAGAAAAGUUUUAAUUGAACAAUUUAAAAUACAUCAACUUCAACAGGAUAAUGAUAGAGAUGAAGCUUUAUUAAGACGACUGGCAGUUCAAACUGAAAUGGAGAAAAAAAUUGUUGUACAACUUACAAACUUGAAAAAAGAAAAGGAAAUCAUGAAAAAUAACAGGCUUGAGCUGGAAAGACAGUAUUCAGAGCGUAGACAAAAAGAAUUUCAGGAAGCAUUAGAUCGAGAAGCAGAGUUUUGUCGUCUUGAUAAAAUAAAAUAUGCUGAAGAAGUACGUAAACAACAAGAAAUACAUGAUGAAAUUGUUAAAAUUAAAGCCUUAGAAAAACACGAAAAACAUUGUAAAAUCUGCAAAGAAAUUGUUUUUGACAUGAUUGAUCUUGUUUGCAAAGUUGGUGAAUACAGACAAAUUACAGAAAAUCAUGUUCCUGCAAAAGUUAUUAGAGAUUGGAAGACCUUAUUUUGCAACUGUAAACCUUUAUAUGAAGAAAGACUCAAUGAAGAUAAUACUGAUUGUGAUUUAAAGAUGACAUUAAUAGAAGAAAAACAGGCUUUAUUAGAUGAGAAGGAGUUUUAUGAAUACAAGAAUUAUCUUGGAGAGUGGGAGCUUCCUACAAAUUUAAAACCACCAGAUGCAAUCUUUAAACCUUCAGAUAAUCAAAUAUUAGGUUUUAUUUUGAAAAGAGUUUAUCUAUUAAUAUACCCUCCUGCACCGCCUCUUGCACUGCCAGUGUUUCCGUCAUUUCCAAUAAAAGUGUGUUUGCAAGGAAAAUCAUUAUCAGGAAAAUCAUCUGUUGCAGACUAUUUUUCCAAAUCUCAUCGAGUUGUUGUUCUCAAUAUCAAAAAUGUAAUUGAUGAUUAUUUGCAAAUUUGGAAAAAAAGUAUUGACAAUUCUUUGAUAAUGAAAAAUGAAGAUUCAAUUAAUGUUCCAAAUUCAGUUGACAUUCAACAACCAGCUCAACAAGCUGACAUUAAAGCAUCACUACCAGCUCAACAAGCAGUGCAACUAGAAGAUCUAAAAUCAGCAUCACUAAAAGAUCUACAAGGAGUGCAACAACCAGCUCUACAAGCUCUACAACAAGAAUUGCAAUUAGCACAAGAAGGUGAACUGCAAUCAGCACCACAGACAGAAAAACAGCUUACCACUGAAGCAAAGUUAGGAAAACAGAUAGAUAUUUGUUUACAAAAUGGUAAAGCUCUACAUGAUCAGUUAUUAGUUGAUGUCUUACUCUGCAAAAUACAUGGUUUGCCUGAAGGUACAGGAUGGAUUAUUGAUGGAUUUCCUGUUACACUCCAACAGGCUCAAUUAUUUGAAAAUGGUUUAAGUGGGUAUUUUGUUCCUACUCAAAUUGUUGCAGGAUUGAAGGAAGAUAAAAAAACAAAAAAGUUUAAACUUGCUUCGGAUCCUAUUCCUCCUCCUCCGCCCAAAGCUCCUGUCAGUGGUCUUGAUAUAGUUGUUUUUUUGGAUGUUUCUGAUGAAGUUAUCUUAAAAAGAGCGCAAGGAAGAGUUACCAAUCGAAAUACAGGUGAAGAUUUUCAUAUUGAAUUCAAACCUCCAUUAGAGAGUUGCUAUUCUAAAAUUAGUCAGAACUUUGUCCCUGUUAUUGAUCCUUCAAAUGAAAAAGAGCAAAUAUUAAUAAGACUCAACGCAUUUCAGGCUAAUUGGAGUAAGCUUGAAAAGUGGUUCAAUCAGUUUAAUAUUGUCUGCACUAUCGAUGCUUCUGUUGAACAAGAUGCUGUUGCUUUAAAUGUAGAAAGAGUAAUUGAAGAAACAAUGAAGAAAAUCCAAGAUUUAAAAAGUCAAUUGGAAAAUGCAAAUUCAUUGGAAAGUAAGCAAAAUGAAUCAAUAGGAGAGAAAAAAGAACCUAUCGUUUGUGAUUUAACAUCUUCAUUAAUCGAAUCAAGCAAGCCAGUUUUUGUUGAUCAACCCAUUGAUAAGGAAAUUGCAGAAAUAAUAUUAAAUAAUUGGAUAUUUAUUGAAGACACAUACAUUAUGUUGAUAAAACAAAUAUUUCGAAAAAUUCGUACUCAGUGUUUUAUAAUUGAUAGAUAUUUUUAUGACAGGAGAGAUGCUUUCAAAGAAUUUUUAAAGAAGCCAGAUGUAAAGCAAAUAUUCAUUACUCAAUGGCAAGAGGAAUAUAACACAUUUCCUGAGGAUAUGAGAAAUGAUGAAGAAUGCAAAGCCGAACUUCAUCAACGAGUUGAUGAUCUUUGUGAGAGAUUAUGGGAAAUAUCUGAUAUGCGUAAAGAUGAAGCCGAAAAAGAACUCUUAAGUAUAAUAGAAGAUGGAUGGUUACAAGACAAUGCAGGAUUUUUAGUAAAUCACUAUAUUUCCUUAAUGCAAAUAGAAGUUAACAGAUACCAGCAUACAUGCUAUAUUUUACGAGAAUAUUAUAAUGCAAUGGAGAAAGAUAAAAGUAAAGGAAAUUUAUCCAAUAUUAAAGAGUUUACAAGUUUACCUUUGCUUGAAAUUUCUGAUGGUCAUAAAGAGCAAAAAAAUGAGUUCGAUAAAAAGGUUUCUGCAAAAUCAGAUGUUAAAAAAUCUCAAGUAAAAAUUAGUCAAAGAGGUGCCCAGCAGGUUAGCCAAUACUCUGCUAAAGAAGAUAUAGAAUCAAAUGAAUUAGAAAUAAAGAUCUUAAAUGAAGCAAUGCAUAAAGCACUGAUCACUAUUGAACAGCAGAAAAAUUUGGAUACUUUGGUUGAAGAUUCUUCUAAAAAGAAAGUCAUAUCAUCACCAAAAGGGCCUAAAAAAAGUGCAGAAAAAAAAAAUAAAAAAAAUAAACAGUCUCCUACCGUGGAAACUCCUAUUCUGAAUGAAGAAGAAGUUAAAGAAAAUGGUUUACUUCAGUUAAGGAAAGAAGAAUACCAAAAAGCUGUUACAAUCGAAGGAGACAUUUUUAAAAUGCGCAUUGAGUCAAUUAAUUCACACGGAACUUCUAUACUAAAAUCAUUAAAGGGAAAAGCUGAUGCUUGUUAUAAAGAUAUGGACAUAUGGUUAGGUGAACGGUUUUUGCAAGAGAUGGAAAGCAUUAAAAAGAUGUGUGGCUUAUUAAAAAGUGCAAUUGAAAGUGAACAACUUUUGACAAAUGCAAUUGUUUUAGAAGGCACAGAUUUCUAUGUAGUUGAAGAAGUUAAAGUUUUUAAUCCUCCUGUAAAAGAAAACCAGGAAUCAUUCUAUACUAAAGAAAUUGUCACUCCAUCAGUUUUUUUAUGCUCUCAACUUUCAGAACUUUGUAGACAGUUUAAAGAAAUUUCUUCAGAUGGUUUUGUAUCUUCUAAAUUGUUUGCUAGUUUAAUAAGUUGUGCUUCAACCUGUAAUUUUGGUAUUGAUUAUGUGGCUGAAAAAUGGAAAAAUUUAAGUCUAUCUACUAUUGAAAAAAUUACAGAUGCAGUUUCUACUAAUACAGAAUAUGUUAACUGGAAGACAUUUUUACUUUCUAUUUCUGAACCAUUCCCGUUACCAACAGCAUUUGAUCUAAAAAAGGCUUUGGAUGAUUUUUUAGAAAUUGAUCAAGCAAGACUUGGUGUUUUGUGUAAAACUGAUUAUGAUAAAAUCCAAUUAUGGUUUGAUAAAUGUCAGCCUUAUCUUGAAAUCAGUUCUUUGCGGUUGAAUUCUAUUAGGGAGUUAUUUUUUGAGAUAUUCAGCAGUAAAACAUCUGACACAAUAAAUUAUAUAGAGAUGCUUCUACACUUCUCUAUCCUUAGCUUCUACACUUCUCAGCAUGUCCAGAUUCAGUUUAUGGUGUUUUUCUGGCUUUGUGUAUUGUCACGUGUCAAAAUCCUCCUAAUGAAUCAUUUUUGUGCAAUGAUAACUCAGAUGACAUUUAUGUAUCUAUUGAUGAUUUGAUAAAGGUUUUACAUUUUGGUGAACCUGACGUUGGUUGUGGUCAUAGAUUCAAUUUGAAAGUUGAUAAAGUUGAAGAAUCUAAGAUGCGUUUCUGCGAAAUAUUUAAAGAAAUGGGUUUUGGGGAAAAUGAACGAGUUUCAAUAAAACGGUUAUACGCUCAUGCUGAUAUAAAAAAUAU
rnacentral:misc_RNA from 1 species